rnacentral:rRNA from 1 species
CCUACGUGAGGCAGCAGUGAGGAAUAUUGGUCAAUGGGCGCGAGCCUGAACCAGCCAAGUAGCGUGAAGGAUGACUGCCCUACGGGUUGUAAACUUCUUUUAUAAAGGAAUAAAGUGAGGCACGUGUGCCUUUUUGUAUGUACUUUAUGAAUAAGGAUCGGCUAACUCCGUGCCAGCAGCCGCGGUAAUACGGAGGAUCCGAGCGUUAUCCGGAUUUAUUGGGUUUAAAGGGGGCGUAGACGGGUUGUUAAGUCAGUUGUGAAAGUUUGCGGCUCAACCGUAAAAUUGCAAUUGAUACUGGCAGUCUUGAGUACAGUUGAGGUAGGCGGAAUUCGUGGUGUAGCGGUGAAAUGCUUAGAUAUCACGAAGAACUCCGAUUGCGAAGGCAGCUUACUAAGCUGCCACUGACGUUGAUGCACGAAAGUGUGGGUAUCAAACAGGAUUAGAUACCCCUGUAGUC